GCAACAACACAUUCGGCAACGGCAACAGCCGCCAAGGCGGCAACGGCGGCAGUGGAGGCUACUUCAACGGCAGCGGUGGCGGCUACGGCCACUCCAACAACAACAACAAGCCUUGCUGCCAACUGUGCGGGAAGGCUGGGCACACCGCGCUCAAGUGCUGGGAACGUUUCAACGUCAACUUCACUGGCGUGGAAGAGAAAAGCGCUGGGUCGGCCUCCACUUCCUACGGCGUUGAUACUAACUGGUAUCUCGACUCCGGCGCCACCGACCACAUCACCGGAGACCUCAACAAGCUGACGAUCCGCGACCGCUACAACGGCAACGAACAGGUCCACACUGCCAGUGGAACAGGAUCGGGAAUCGAAGAAGGUUCUUCUUCAAGGCAGAUGUAGGAACGGACUUUACCCUGUCCUACCCUCUUCGUCCAACUCAAGCAGGAGCGUCUACAGUGCCAUCAAGCCCUCUUCGGAACGGUGGCAUUAUCGAUUAGGUCAUCCUUCGUCGACCAUAGUUAAACAAGUCAUUAGCCAGAAUAAUCUCCCUUGUUCGAGUGAGUCAAAUAAAUUUUCCGUGUGUGAUGCAUGCCAAAAAGGCAAGAGUCAUCAGCUUCCCUACCCAAAGUCUUUUAGUGAAUCUAGUGCUCCUUUAGAGCUUGUGUUUUCCGAUGUUUGGGGUCCUGCUGUCGAGUCUGUUGGACGCAAAAAAUAUUAUGUCAGUUUUAUCGA